CCGAGUUUACAACUCCCAAACCCCAUGUGAACCUUACCAGACCGUUGCCUCGGCGGGAUCUUCUGCCCCGGGUGCGUCGCAGCCCCGGACCAAGGCGCCCGCCGGAGGACCAACCCCAAACUCCUGUCUCAUGCCCCUCGCGGGUGUUGUCCAUGCAUUCUGAGUCUCCUCGGCGCCCCUCGCGGGCUGGCCGAAAACGAAUCA
rnacentral:misc_RNA from 1 species